GACGGAGGGUGCAAGCGUUGUUCGGAAUUACUGGGCGUAAAGCGCGCGUAGGCGGUUACUUAAGUCGGAUGUGAAAGCCCUCGGCUUAACUGAGGAAGUGCACCCGAAACUGAGUAGCUAGAGUACGAAAGAGGGUCGCGGAAUUCCCGGUGUAGAGGUGAAAUUCGUAGAUAUUGGGAAGAACACCAGUGGCGAAGGCGGCUCACUGGCCCGAUACUGACGCUGAGGCACGGAAAGCGUGGGGAGCAAACAGGA
rnacentral:rRNA from 1 species